AAGCGGAAGCCGCGCCGCGCGGAGAGGCUCCUGUCGAAGUCGGGUGGCUGCAGGCGGUCGCGUGAGGGCCUAGCGGUCCCUGCGGAAGAAGGAGGAAUGGGGCCGUAGCUCUUGAUACACACAGAAAAUCAACCACUCAGCACUUCCAAUAGCAGAGCUAGCACUGGGUGGAUAUCAGGACAGAGUUCCACAGUGAGAAGGCUGUGAAACUGAGGAAAUGCAAGCCAGAGCAGUACCCUCUUUGUCCAUGGGGACCUAACUGACUGGAGGUAAGAGAGUGAGUUCUGCUCCACAAGAAUAAGAGGGUUAAGGCCACAUUUGGCCAUGGCAUUUUUGCUCUUUUAGGCCCAAAUAGGAAACCCUGGUGGCAUAGUGGUUUAGUGCUACUGCUAUUAGCCAAAAAGGCACUCCUUAGAAACUAUAGGGCAGUUCCACUCUGUCUAUAGAGUUGCUAUAUGUUGGAUUUGACUCGACAGCAAUGAGUAAAAGUGGGUAGGCCCAGAUAAACAUUGAAAAUCUUUUGGGUUGUGACUACUCAAAGUGUGGUCCAAGGACCAGGAACAUCAGAUUCACCUAGAAGUUUAUUCGAAAUGCAGAAUCUCAGGCCAAGCCCAGAACUAAAGAAUCAAUAUUUUUAUUUAACAAGAUCCCCAGAUAAUAGCUUGUGCAUUACAAUUUCAGAAGCCCUGCUCUAGGACAAUAUUUCUCAAAGAAGGUCCAAAACCACCUGGAGCUUCUUCUUAAAAUGAAAUUCUCAAGCUCUACCUCAGAGGCUGCUACAUCUGGUUCUCUGGGGGUGGGCCCAGGAACCUGCAUUUUGAAGAGGCACCCUAGGUUCUUGUGCACACUGAAGUUUGAAGACUGCUGCUGCUUUAGCUGUUGGGAAAUCUGGGCAGGGGAGGGCUGUGGGCUCGAAAUAAAAUGAUGUUUAGGAACUGAAACACAUGUCCCAUAGCUUCUACUGGGAAUCAGUGGAGCAGAUGCAGUUGAUAAGUGGAGAAAACAGACCUUUUGCCAUCCUCAAGAACCAGAUGGAUGUAAUAGCGAGGUGAAUGCCAUGUCUGUUCCUUUACCGAUGGCCAAGAUGGGUCUAACAUGAUGGGAACCACUGACCCUGGUAAUUUAGAGUCCAUUUUAAAACGCAUCUGUGGGCAGGUACACAUAAAAUGUAAUGAGAAAGCCAUGUCCAUCUCAGGGAUACAGGGUCAGAUGUGCCCCCAGAACACAGAGCCCAAAGAAUGGGAUAUUUUCCCUGUGAAAGAAUUCUGAAAAGUAAAAAUGAUGGCCUCUUUAUUUGCAUUAACAAAGGUCACCUGCCCCUUCCUGAAAUCCUAGGUCACCCCUACCUUUUGGGGAUUUCCAUCUAGGGUCAGUUUGGUUUCUGGGUUUGUGAGAGCCUAGAGCUGUCCCCUGGUGACCCUCAAAGCCUAGACCCCCUCCUUCUGGCAGAGGGAGAUCCUCCCCUUUCUACUCACUGACUCUUGAGGCACCCCCACCUCCCAGGAUGCAGCCUCCCCAGUAUGAUAGUUCCACCAGCCAUCGGUGGAUUCCGGAAGAGUAGCCCUCCAGACCCAGAACACAGGGAUUGGUGUCGAAUCUCUUGGGAUGAGCAGCUGGCUCUAGCAGAGAGCCUCUCACAGUCACGUGUUUCCCGUCCUUGGAGUCCGGGAGCUUUGCGUGAGCAGUGUCCUGGCCCAGGACCACUUUUGCUGUUAGAGAAAUGGAGCAGGGUGUUACCACUCCACUGGACUGAAAUAGACCGUGGUUCUAUUCCCGGCUAGACUUGGAGGAAAUCAUUUCAGUAUUGUACUCCUUAGUUUCUUCCUCCGCAAGUUGAGGGAACUCAUUAUUCUUAUUAUUUAAUACUAUUAAAACAACUUAAACUUACAUAGCAUCUUAUAAUUUACAAAGCAUAUAUUUAUGGCUUACACAACCCCAGGAGGCCAAGAGGGAAUGUGUUACUUUUCCUUCCCAGGAAAGAAAGUGGAUCUCAGAAAGGUGAGCUGGUUUGUGUCCAGACACUAGGCUAGAAUGACUAGAAGUUCAGCUCUAACAUUACUAUUGGAGGUUGACCUUAAUGUUCCUGUUUCCUGCAUUCUCUAUGUGAAGGAGGGGGACUUUCUAUAUGUCUCUAUCCUUUACUUCACUCACUUUCUCCAUUUCUAUCCAUUAUUCAUUUUCUGUGCCUGCUGUAGCAGAAGCCAUUUCUGACUGAUGUGGGUACCUCAACCUACAGGGAUCCUAGGUGUUCUUUGGACUCUCUUUGGGUUGAUGGUCAUGGCUCCUAAAAGAAAUAGAAAAAUCAUCAUUUCCUUUAAAAGACUUAAGUCUGAGUUACUAUUACUUCCACCAGAGAAUCUCAAACUUUUCCCACCUUGCUCCUUUUACAGUUGCUCCCCCCAACAGACCUUUGAGGGUCUUCUAUUAUUAUAUUCACAAAUAUUUAUUGAUCUUGUACAGAUGCCAACAGGAAGGAAAUUGGCCUGCCUUCAUUGACCCAAACCCAAACCAAACCUGCUGCUGUGGAGCUGAUUCUGACUCAUAGUGACCCUAGAGGACAGAAUAGAACUGCUCUAUAGAGUUUCUAAGGAGUGGCUAGUGGAUUCAAACUGUUGGCCUUUUGGUUAGCAGCUGUAGCUGUAACCAUAAAUGGUGCACCACCAUUGACAAUGAACCCGAAAUUGGUCUCUUAGCUUUGUGCAGACAAUCCUUACCUUGGACAGCUUUCCUGAGCAUAUCUGUUGAUGUUCAUGAGGUGAACUGUCUUUCUGACAUUCAUCCCUACUGUUAUUAGAAUAGCUUAUUUUAUGACUUCUAAUACCCACAAUAACUUUUACCCAGUUAAAGUUGGGGUAUCCUUAGAUAUCUAACCUUGAUUCCUCAUUUUUCUUCUAUGUUAAAAAUCUUUUUGUGAGGUGGCUUGAAUCGUUUACAGGGAAAACAGAAGCCUUCUGGUACUUGGCAUCCCUCUUGAACUGUUAUUGUCAGCUAUAUCUUAAACAUUAAUUUAUACUCAACCUAGGGCAAGAAAUGGCCCCAUUUGAGACAUACCUGUAGCUUCCCACUGCCAGAAUGUUUGGUUCCGGUUGGGUCUUACAUCUUCUAUGGAGAAAAGAAGCAAAAGGAGAUGAGUCUCCAGCCCUUCUGGAAUCUUCAGUGUUUGUCCUUCUGGUACACUGGAAAGUACACUGGGCUAGCAGUCAAGACUCAUAGGUUUGCAACCAUGUUCUACCACUUACUGAUUUGUGACCUUUAAAAACUUAUUUACCCUCAUCUAUAACAUUUGGAAUAAUUUUAAGGUCUUUACUAGCUUGAAAUCUUAACGUUUUCUGGCAGCCAUGGCUUUCUGAUGUUUCCCCUACCUCGUUCAGUGUUAUUUUCUCAGGAUUGAACAGAGAGGGAAGCUGUCAAGGUGUGUUGAACACAGUCUCUAGUCCAGUGACUACAGUAAAAUGUCCACUGCCGCCCCGACCUGCCUCCAGAGGGGAAAGAUGGCCUGAACAGAUCUGGUUGGGAUCAAGCCCAGCCACAUCUGAGGUGCACAGCCAGUCAUGCACAGGCUCAGGGAAGGAUUCUCUGUGAGUCAUUUCCCCUCUUCAGUUAGUUUGAUAUGGCCCCCAUAGUCUUAUGAACACCCUUCCAUAAAUCCUCCUUGUAUUUGAACUGUGGUGUUGGUGAAGAAUUUUGAAUAUGCUGUAUACUGCCAGAAGAAUGAACAAAUCAGAUCAGUCUUAGAAGAAACACAACCAGAAUGCUCCUAAGAAACAAGGAUGGCAAGACUUCAUCUUGCUUGCUUUGGACACAUAAUCAGGAAAGACCAAUUGCUGGAAAAGGACAUCAUGUUUGGUAAAGUAGAAGGUCAGUGGAAACAAGGAAAACCUGCAGUCAGACAAUUUGAUAAAAUAGCCAAAACAGUGGACUCGAACAUACCAGUGAUGAUGAAGAUGGCACAGGACCCGGGCAGCAUUUCAUUCUGUUAGGCAUAAGGUUGCCAUUGUCCAUGAGUCAGAGCCGACUCGAAAGUAACGUAACUAAAAAAAAACAACAUAAAUCCCCUCUUUCAGUCCGUCCUUUUAGCAUAGUUUCCAUUGAAGCAGGACCCUGUCCAUUGUCUUUCACCAGUCCAGAGAGCAGAACAUAGUCCCCAUUACCAGGAAUUAUACCCUCAGCUCCCUGGGAUGUGAGCAUUAGGCUCUAGUUGGGCUACAUGCUGAAUACUCAGAUGCAGAUGGCUCUCAGCCCCUGCCCUUUUCCUCUUCUUUAUAACUUCUCCCACCCAACAAUGCCAGUGGCCGGGAUGGUCCCUCUGGGAGGGAGGGAGCAGUGGCCUGAACACAGUACUGAGACCUUCCUACCUUCCUGCACUUCCUAUCUUCCCAGGCCUGGUAAUGCUAGUGCUGGCUGUGAUCCUGACCUGAACUGCCUGUCUCAUAGGGGCUAGGCCAAGGGUUGGAGAGGCAGCAUGAUGUGGUGGGGAGAGCCCAGACUCCGAAACCAAACAGAAGGCAGACCUGAGUUGGGUUCUGGCUAAACAGCGUACAAGCUGUGUGACUGUAACCUUCUCAUUAAUCUUCCUUAGCAUCAAUUUUCUUAUGAUAAGGUACGUGUGAUAAAAUCUGCCUUUGAAUGUAUUAUUCUUAGGAGGAUAUGAAUUCAUAUAUGAAAGGACCUGGCCUACAAAAGUUACCCAGUAAAUUUUAAUGUACUUUUCAUUGGACACAUGAAGCAAUCAUUAGUUCCAAUAUAGUUAUGAUGCCCCCUACAAUUUCCAAAUAUUCUCUUUUAAGUCCUUUUCCUCUUUUUUCUUCUGUGUGUCCUUAGUCACAUUUUUAUACUUAGAAAUGUCUCUAGAAAUACCUGAUUGCCUCCAGGUAUGUCUUUGUUCUUCCAGGUUGGAUUCCUACAUACUUGGAUUAGAAAGUAUUGGAGAAGAUAUCAUGUAUUGACUGUGUUUCAGUGAUAUGACAACUUUGUGAUUCUCUAAUCUGACAGAAGGGAAAAAAAAAAAAAACCUAAAUAAUCAAAAUUCACAGAACAUACAGAACACCCUUUUAACUCUAGAGCUGUGAGUCCUUUUUUCACUAGGCUCCUACAAUGAUUCUCAGGGAUCCUUAGAGCCUCAGGAAAGUUGUUCUCUCCCUAGGCCUGCAUAGAGUCCAAGUGCCAAGAAACUGCCACAAAAUGGGGAGGGGGAGAAGGUGCUAGAAAGCCAUCCUGUCUCUUUUACUUAGAGUAGGAAGGAAAACGCACCUCCUCUUUGUAUAAAACAAGGUGUAAACUCACUUUCUUUAGAUGCCACAACAGGCUUUGCCUUGGGAUGUCCUGGCUGCUUUUUCCUGGUUUUUAAAUUGCUCCUGAAUUUCUCUUAGUAUUGCUCCAAGCCAAAUGGCAUGGCCUCUGGAAGAAGAAAUGGAGGACUGAUCACCCUAAAAUAAGAGUUCACUUAAAAGAGGGAGAAGGGGCAGAAAAUUUUACCUUGAGCUGAUCCUGCCACUAGGUGAACCCAUUAAGAACAACAUCCUGCUAAGGAGACUCAUGAAGUCCAUUGAUUUUUGUUGUCAUUGUAGAUCACUGGAAACUAGUGUGUGAUGCAGCAAUGAGCAUGAUCUUUCAAACCAAGGAAUAUUGGGUUUGAAUUCUGGCUCUGCUUCCUAGCUAUGUAAACUUAAAUAAAUUUCCUAAUUUAUCUAAGCCUCAGUUUCAUCAUAAGAAAUGAGGAUAAUAAGCGGUAUGAGUAUAUUGAGAAACAUGAAAACAUUAAGCACAAUGCUGGUAUCCAAGAGGUGCUCAAUUUCCUUAUUAUUCCACAAAUGUAUUGACUUUGAAGAACUCCAGCAUAUCUGUGAGUACUGAUUCCUGAUAUAGAAACAAAUCCUUUUCUUUCCUCCAAAUAGGCAAUGCUUUUCUAAAAGGAGAGUUCCAUAAUAUAACACUCCCUUAAUUUUUUUCUCUUUUUUCAGGGAGAAGUGAGAGCAGGAAACUAAGAACAAAUAUCCGUCUGACUUGUGAAAUGCUGUAGACUCUCUUGCAGUGUAUCAAUCUUAUUUGUGAUUUCAAGGAGUUAUUUUUGAAGGGUUGGGGACAGAGCUGUGGGGGUUGGAAACUGCACCGUUUCCACCUGAGGGAAAGAAAGAACAGUAAUUAAGUGACCCCUAUACACCUUGUUCUCAAGAGUCAGAAGAUCCUCAAGUGUUAGAGAUCAUCGAUAAAUAGCACCUCUCUUUCCUAACAAGUUGAAAAGUGAAGCAGAAUAAGAUAGAAGGUCCAAGUAUUAUUUCUAGGACUGGCAACAUGUAUGUUGGAGGAUAUAGCUGAGUGACAGAGUCAAAUGGCUUCUUAAUACUGAAACCCACAUAUACACAUACCCACUCACCCCACCAUGGCAACCCUGACAAGGACAGUCCUAGACAGGCUCUUCUGCAAUUUCCGGUAUGGAAGGACAGAGGGGAAUCAGGCUUUGUUGGAGGCUUUUUCCCAGGAGGGAGAAGGGAGGUGCUAAGGUGCCCAGCUAUUUUCCCCCAAAUUACCAGUUAUGUAAGGUAUUCCAGCUGGCUAUAAGUGUGCUUAAGGAAAAUUCCUUUUCAUGGAGACCAGAAACUGGGAAAAGGUGUAUCCCUCUAACAGUCACACAGUCAUGUCUACUUCCAUGUUUCCAUAUAGAAUAGCGUUUUGUGUAUAUCAGAAACAUUGGUGGUGUAAUGGUUAGAAGCUACAACUGCUAACCAAAAGGUCAGCAGUUCGAAUCUACCAGGUGCUCCUUGGAAACUCUAUGGGGCAGUUCUACUCUGUCUUAGAGGCUUUCCUUGAGUUGGAAUUGACUCAGUGGUAACAGGUUUGGUUUUUUUUUUGGUCUGUAUCAGGUAGUUGGAUUACUGUGUGCCAACAGUAACAUUUGGGAAAAGGACAUUUGUGAUUCGAUGGUACUGGGGGCAUUUGUGAUAGAUGGAUAAGGGGAAUCUUACUUACCUAAUUUCUUCAUCUCCUAGAAAAAAAUAGAGAUAUCAGAGCUGACUUUUCCCAUACUUUAACUUUUUGGUUGUUCGCAAAAGUGACCAGUUCCAAAGGACAAGGUCUGCUUCCUGAUUAAAUAUUUAAUGUUAUCCUAUCACCUGCACAUUCAUGUUAAGCCUUCAUACACCAUCAAGAGCAUAUACAAAAAAAAAAAAAAAAGACAAUAAAUAUUGAAGAAUAUUCUUUGAAGAAUAGGGUCUAAGCGUUACUUGUAAUGUUGGUAAUGAAGAUGGAGAAGGAAGAGGGGAAGGUGGGCGAAGAGGACUAAAAAAAUGGCCUUUUAUGCCUUUAAGGAUCUCCAUCCCUGACUGAGAGCAUUCCUUCUCCACCUUACUUAUCAGUCUGUCAAGAAAGGUCAGUACCUUGGAGACUUUGGUGACAUAGUUAUCUUUUCCACUGAUGAUCUCUUUCUCCACUGCCCGCAUUUGGGCCAGAAAGAGGUAUUCCUGAGCUUUCAAAAGCUUCCAAGUCUGUCUCAACUCAAAUACAACCUCCUGGUUCUUGGUCUAUAUCUGGUUCUAGAGAAAUAAAAGGGAAUUGAUUCUCUGGAACCUGGUGGAGACCCAAUGAACAUGACCCCACAAAGAAUACUAAUAGUUGGUUGGGCCUUGAUGGAGUUUCACAUUUGUUUCCCAGAAUGUAGUAGAUGGUAACGUGUAGGAAAUUUAACAUACAAAAAGAGGAUUGAACUUGAGGGAUUGGCUUCCAUGUAUCAUUCAGAGUCCUAGUCUUAUCAUGGAAUACUGUUUGCUUCCUUGGGUUUCAACUUUUUUUCAGAACUCUAGAAAGUAUGAACAGAUCAUUCUGGGGUAGUUUGUACAUGGGGAAAUUCAGGGGAUGGGAAUGGAAAUUUACUGAAAGUUAGACUCAAAGGUAAAAAAUGGGAGCUAAAGAAAUUUUUGUUUCCUGUUAGAUUUUUUGUUUGUUCUCCAGACCCAGUGGUUGUGACUCCAUUUCCUACCCAAGCAAAUGAUGUUUUAUCUCUCAUAAUCCACUUUGUAGGAGAACUUAUCUCCUUCUCCCUUUCCACCCCUUUAUCCUUCCAUGACGACUCAGACCAUAAGAGGUGAGUGGCAUCUCCCUCUUGAAAAUCAACCUGAACCCUUACCUAGGAAAGUCCAGUAGAGAAUAUCAAGGCAUGAUUGACCACCAUUAAGGCCUGUAUUGACUUUUCUCUCGUCUGCUUCAUCUUAUUAAUCUCUUCCCACUCUUUCUUCAGAGUCACCAAGUGGCUCUGGAUUUGAUCCUAUGAAAAUAGGACACUCAUAUUCUUCAUGAAUCAACAGUUUUAAUCUCAACAUCUCUAUAUUUCCAAGGAUUCAUAUCAUCCUAAGCUAAAUUAAUGAUGUAUUCAGAAGUAAAUUCAUAGCAACCCAAAGGGGCUUAUGGAGAAAGUGAUACAUGAAUAGGAUGAGGGGUGAAUUAAGAAUAUGAUUAGGAAUAAGACUAGUGUUAGGUAAAAUUGUUGUUGUUACCCAUUGCCAUUGAGUUGAUUCAAAUCAAACCAAACACUGCCGCUGAAUCAAUUCAGACUCACAGCAUCCCUGUGGAACAGAGUAGAACUGCCCCAUAGGGUUCCAAGGCCAUAAAUCUUUAUGGAAGCAGACUGCCAUUCUCCCAUGGAGUGGCUGGUGAGUUCACUGCUUUUGGUUAGCAGCCAAGCACUUAACUACUACUCCACCAGGGCUUCUUAUUGUUGUUAGUUGCCAUCAAGUCAGCUCGGGCCCAUUAUGACCUUAUGUACAGCAGAAUGAAACACUGCCCAGUCUUACAUCAUCCUCAUGAUCAUUGGUAUGUAUAUAAAAUUAGGGUAUAUUUAAGGGUAUUGAGGAUCAUUAAGUAGAGAAUUCUUGCAAUAAAAGUUCCCUGAUUGACCCUGCCUCACUCUAACCACCGGUCCGAAAAAGAACACUUGCCACCUUUUAUUCUCCUGUUGAGAAUAAAACAGGAGAAUUCUCUCAUGCAGAGAAUAAAGCUAUGUUCAGUGAUGGAAUCAAAAACCUGAAUCCUGGCACGUCUGGUGCUAUACAGAGCUGAGAGACUGGCUGAAGAGUAAGCUAGCAGUUUUAUAAGAGAAGGAACGAGAAGGUCAAAUGUCGAUGGAAUACGAAGAAACUAUAAGGAAAAUGGAGCCUGUAUAAACCAAGGCAUUCCUGUUCCUCGCAUGGUGGUGGGGCCGGAGGGGAAGAGGGAGGUGCCAUGUUAGUGUUGUCUGCCAGAGUGCCCUUUCAAAACGGAAGCAUCAUCUUCUCCAUUUACAACACCAGGCCAAGGAGGGCUUAAAAGACCCAGCCUGUAUCAGCUUCACCUCCUUCUCCCACCUUUUUCCCUCCGGCUAUGAGAGCAAACACUGGUUGAACAUCAUCUAUGUGCCAGAAAUUGUUCUAGGCACAACUCAAGCAAUUGUUCUAGUAUCAACUCAAGCAAUCCUUAGAACGUCUCUAGAACUUUACCGAUUUUACAGGUGUAUGUAAAGUGAGAAAGGUGUACUGAAAUAUAUGUAAAGUGGGUAAGUAACUUGUCAGGGGUCCCAUAGCUAAGUGGGUGGUAGAGUAAAUACUCAAAUUUUGGUGGUCCAUAUCUAGGCCUGUACCCUUAACCACCAUGCUACAGCUGCCACUAGCUUCAUGGGGCUUGUCAGUUCUGCAAACCCACCAUACUAUCAAAUACUCAGGACUUUUCACCAACUGUUCCCCUAAAUAUGAGGCAUUCCUCCCCUUUCAACUCUGUUCAUCUUUAGGGCUCAUUUGCAAUGUUACCUCUUCAGGGAAGAUGUUCUGAACCUGCUCCCAGAUAAGGUAGGCACCCUUGCUCUUCAUUCUAGAUGCCUGUUUUCCAGUUAGGCUGUUCACCGUAUAAAGACACAUAGUAUGUUCAACUUGUUCAUGCUGCAUCCCCAGUGCCUGGCAUGUUAUCAGGCCCUCAGUAAAUAUAAUACAUUGACACAGUGGCUGCAACAAAGGGCUCAAACUUAGCAAAGAUUUCGAGGAUGGCACGGGACCAGGCAACUCUUUGUUCUGUUAUGUGUGAAGUUGCUAUGAGUAGGAGCCAACUUAACAGCGCCUAAAAACAACAACAGUAAAUAUGGGUCAGUAAAUACAGUUCCCCAAAAAGUAGUUAGGGAGGACUUCUCGUUUUCAAUAAUGACAGGAAUGUUUUGGCCAACCCUUGUGUUGAAAAUAACUUUUUGGGGGCAUGCAAUAUAAUUUGCUUAUGACUACAGAGAUUUCGGUUAUCUGAAGGGUUAUUACAUGAAGAAUCGUAUUAUUUCUGCGUGACCAUAGAGGUCAGAGCUUGGUCAUUUCCUUAGACUCUUCGGUGAGGCAGAAUCGGCUCAUUAGGAUUUUUUUUUUUUUUAAUUAGACUUAAUAAUGGAAUGGACUGCUUUAGUGGGUAGAAAGUUCUCCACCACUAAACGGUUUCAAGCACUUGUUGUUGAUAUUGUGUGGGGAAUUUUGACCCUGAAGGGAUCAACCACCUUGCAUACUGAGGCCCCUUCCUCACUAAGUUGCCGUAAGAGAUAGAGGACUUGGUUACCACUAUGUGAUCUUGGGCUAGGCAGUUCUGAGUGUCAUUCUUAAUAUCUACUAGUCAAACUGGAAUAAUACCUGAUCUACUUCACAGAGUUAUGAAGGGACUGGAUUACGUAAUACAUGUAAAUCCUUGCUUUGUUUUUGUUUUGUUCUUUUCUUUGCAUUGUGAUUGCUCAGGUCAACUCUUCUCCCUUCUCUCUCUUUUUUUUGAUUAUACAACAUAACAGCAAGAGAAUUUCUUAAAUGAAAAGAGAAAUCUCAUCUGCAACCCCACUACCUCAUACAAUAAUCAUACUUAUUUUCCUGUAUUCUAGUCUAGCCAAAGAUGGCUUUGAGAACUAACAUGUGAAAUCAUUUCAGUUAACAGCAUGAAGCCCUGCCAGUCCCAUGAGCCUUUGUCACUGGCAAGUAGUUCCUCGUGACAUAAUAAGAGUAGUGAUGGUUACUUUGGAAGGUUGGAGGGAAAAGCUGAAGUCAAAGUUGUACCUGGGUAAGAGAGAAAUGAACGGAAAUGCUUUUGUCUCCUUUCUCAACCCCAUUGAACAAUAUGAAUUCCUCCCAUUCCUCCCUAUUCUCCAGUCUCCACGGGUACUAUGUGUAGAUAUGUGACUGAGAAACAAGUCAGGUCUUGCCUGUCCUUUUUCCCUCCAAAAAUUAAUACAAAGAGAAUUCAUUCUAAACACAAUACAUGGUGAAGAGGGAAGGUUGUGUUAACCCUGGGAGAGGGUCCUUCUCCACGGAGAACACUUCCUCUGAGCCUUGUGACCAGUUCCAUCAGGGCACACUCUUGUCCGAUCCCCUUGCUAUUUGGAUCGCUCUCGACGGUCCUCUUGACCUCUUUCAAGCAGAACGGGGAAAUGAGUGCAAGGACUAGGGAGUGUCCCACUGUGGGAACGCAUGGUACUCUCUGGGCCCCUCUUGGGGAAAAUGCUUCUGCUUCACUUUUAUUUCUUGUUUUGGAGCUCGUCCGCGUGAAGAGUAAAAGUUGUUUUUCCUAGAAGUCAGUGAAGAAAUGAUUCGUUUCCCUUUCCCCUGUCUAUUCUGUCUAGCGCUGGGUCGUCUUGCUGAGUCAGGCACUCAGAAAACCUUCCCCUGACUUGCCUCUCUGCCCAUCCCAAUUCAAAAAGCAGAGGGAACUGGCAGUUUUUAGGAAUUCUGCUCCCUCCUCCGCCCCUCCCCCUCCAUGCAGCACGACGGCAGAGCUACUGGUAACAACCAAAGCCAACAAAGGACUUUUCUUCAUGAAUAAGUAGACAAAAAAGAAGUACAGUUAUGCAAACUUCUGAGUCUUAUGCCCAAAUGGAGAUGCCCAUGUGGAGAAAUCAGCAGGAUUCAAACCUGGGGAAGAGUAAGCGUGAGAAACCACUAGACUUCUGCUAUUUUAUUCCUCUGUGUUUCUCCUUUCUGUUUCUAAAUAUAUAGUAUAAAUAAUAUGGAGUACAAACUGUUAGACUCCCUCAAUCCUUUCCUUUGAAUUGUGAUCAACACUUGUUAUGUGAGACAUUCAUUCCAUCAGUACUUACUGUAAGCAAACUGUAUGUGAGAGUAGCGCUUUUAUUCAAAAUAUUUGACAACCAGUAUGGUAAUUUUAAUUAAUGUAUAAAUAAAAAAUUUUAACUGAGUAUUCUUUCUAUGCUCCAAAUUAUUAUAAAACUGCUUGCCAAGUGAUAUGAGCUGUAGUAUACAUUAUUUCUCAAAUCAUUCUAACAAUUUCCAAAUUUCUUUAUUUUUAGAAAAAUUUGGCAUGAUAUCUUUUCAAUGUCGCUGUCUUUAGCUAAGUGGUGUGUCUGUGUGAGCCAUGGUUUGACAAGGGAGCUACAUAAAAAGCUUCCAUUGGCUUCCCCAUUAAAUUGUCUUUUAGAUAACAUCAUGUAACAUUGACCGUAUUGUUCCUGGUGCAAAAUUAUUUCUUGCUAGAGCAAUUGCUUAACCAAUUUUUAGCCCUUAUAAUAGUGUCUGAGAUUCUUAUACAUUUGAUGUCUCUGUUGUUCACUAAGUCACAAAACUCAUUAUAAUGCCAUAUUUAAUUAGGAGCCUCAGUUUCUAUGGAGUUUGUAAACAUCGUUCAUGAUUGAUUAAAUUUUUAAAAACUUAAAUGUUCUUUAUGUUUCUUAUUUUUAUCAUUACUACAAUUCCAAUCACAUGAAUCACUAAUUGUUUUUUUUUUCCUCGUGGAAUUACUUUCCUUUCAAAUGGUGUAUAUACGUAUUUUUAAAUAAUACUGUCUGCUUUUUCCUUCUUUGUUUACUAUCUACUUUUAUAUGCUGAUUCUUAUUUUUGUCAAAUUAAUCCAGCUUCUUUAAUAAUUAAAUGUUUCUCUGUGGUAAGGCUAAAGAUAGUAUUGACAUCUCUGUUAGAAUAUAAGCUAUUAAACCAAAUCUCUGGAAAAAAAGUCUGUUUUCCAAACAUUUAGCUACUUUCAUUUUACAAUUUCUAUUAAAUCUCCUAAAUGUUUUUGAUGGCCCAGCACCACAGGGUGCCCAAAUAUUCUUCCCAGUUUCAUGAUUUCAGUUCCAACCUCUUCAGAUAGAUUAUUUAAUUUUCCCAGAUGUUUAGUGUAUGGAACUGCAUAUAAGGUUUAUUGGAGCAAGUAGUUAAAGCUAUUUAUUUGACUUAUAUACUUUAUUGUAUCACCCUGAAGUUAUUGAAUACAGUGACUUAGAUAGUGCCGAAUUAAAACAUCUGGGAAUUUUUCUAAAAUUUUGACUAAGACCCUGGACUGCCCCUAUGGUACACACUGGCACCAUCUAUAUCAUCAUAUAACAAUUUCCCAUCAAAACUAUUUUUCUUGAGCAUUGAGUAAGUUUGACAUAUUCUCUGAGGUCCUUGAGUCAACAAAAACCAUAUAAUGGUCUUACAGUUUUAGAUUUAGUAUUUUAGUAACUGAUUAAAACACAUUUUCAUGAAAUAAUUGGAAGCUUCAUUGAUAAUGAUUUGUUGCCUUGAUUUAUAAUUUUUCCACAAAGUUGUCUCAUUAUGGUAGAUACAUAUUUUGCAACCAGGAGAACCAUUAAUCUAGACUGCAAUGAUAUGCACUGUCUAUAUUCUUUUUAAAAGCCUCUAUUUAGUAUGUGAAAUGCUCUAUUUAAUUACACAGUAGAUAGUAUUUAAAUUCUGAUGGCAGUUUUUCAAUGUCUUGUUGGCUUUAUCAACAUGGAUAGAAAAUAUUUCAGAAGUUGUUAUUAUUUCAGAUACUUCAUUGAGCAAAGCUAGUAAUGCAUGACGUUCUUCAAAUUUUUCUCCUUGAUUAUGGCUAACUUUUUUCACUGAAUUUUGAGUGCUGACAAAAUGUGCUUAGCUCUUUUAACUUUUCAUGAUACAGCUUUUGAGAAUCAUUUGCAUGCAAUAUUUACACCGCUAGCAAUAAUAAGCCACCUGCGAGUUUUGUCAAAAUUAUCACGGUAUUUUUACAUUUUAGAAAUGCAAAUUACUGUUGCCGUUGAACUGAUUCUUACACAGUAUCGAACACAUUCCUACUUGUUAUAAUUUUUGCACAAAAUCAGAUGUCCCAGGAUGAGAUUUACUAUUAAUAUCAUUGCUUUCUUGUUCCCUCUCAGAUUCAGAAGAUUCAUAUUUUUAAAGCAAUGUUAAAAAUGUGUACAAACAUCACUAUUGCUCCAUUCUUACUGUUUAUCUUAAUAUUCUAAGUUCUUGAAUUUAUUUAUGCACGAAUAACAAUACACUAACAGUAAGAACAAAGGAAAAAACAAACUCUUUAGAAGUUAUGCUGAUAUGAGGAUAAUGAUAAACUGAUGACUUUCUUCAAUCUCAGAGUGAAGAGUGCACAUCCCAGCGAUUCUGCUUGUUAUUAUGUGGCAGAACUGAGCAGGUAGUGCCCCAAAUGUGCCUCAGAUGUUGCAAUGACAGGAGGUCCAUCUAUUGAUGGUGAUUGUGAUAGCCUAAGACACAUAGCUAAUAAGUUCACCAGAAUUCAUAGUAUUCUUUUUUAAAAUAAUUAGUCUGACUGUACUGGUAAAUACUGGUAAAUACUGGCUGAAUAGCAGUGUAUAAGAGAAACCAUAAAAGGAUAUAUGAACUUUAGUUAAUAUACUAUGACUUUUUGUAAAAACAUAUUUUUGUUGAGAAUAUACAUAGCAAAACAUACACCAAUUCAAUAAUUUCUACAUGUACAAUUCAGUGACAUUGAUUAUGUUCAUCCAAAAUAGACUAUGACUUUUAACAUUUAAGUGUUAAGCUAGUUAGGUUUGGACACUUUUAGAAAUUACAGUGAUAAGGGUCCUCAGGAAGUAGGGCUCUUGAUUAUAACACGUGGCUUUUGUGAGUGGUCUGUUUUUCCCUGAUUCCUUUCAGGUGAAUGAACAGGAGUAAAUUGAAUAUGAAUAAAAAAGAGAAAUUGCCUUCACUUUAUUUCUUUUUUUUUUUCCUAAAGUCAGAUGAGGUGGCCUGGAUGUUAAUUGUUAGGCUAUAAUCUUCAGCUAGCUCUUAUCGAGUGCUUCAUGCAAAAAAUGAGAUUUACCAUAUUCUUUUAGUACUAGUUAUUUACACUAAGAAAAACAGGAUGUGGACAGGGCGUGAGUGACUUAUGUUGGUUAUCUAGAUCAGAGCCACCCAAUAGAAAUAGAACAGAAACCAAAACUGUUGUACUUUAAAAUUUUCCAGUGGCCAUGUUAAGAACAUAAAAAGAAAUAAGUGAAAAAUAAUUUUAAAAAUAUGUUUUACUUACCCAUUGUCAUCCUAACAUCUACUCAAUAUAAAAAAUGAAUAAUGAGUUAUUUUUACAUUCUUUUUUCCAUGUUAAGCCUUGGAAAUCCACUGUGCAUUUUAUGUUCAGUUCCUUGGUUGGCCCUAGUCACAUUACCCCACCUUAAAAUGGAGAGAAUAGUAGUACCUACUCUUAGGGUUGUCGUGAGGAAUAAAUGAGGUAAUAUCAGUAAACAUCUGUUAUGCUCAUUGCCUGCCAGGUACUGUAAUGGUUUGUGUGCAUUUAAUCCUCACAAUAUCCCUAUGGCGUAGGAACAUUUAUCACCCCAUUCCAUAGGUGAGGUAGCAAGCCACUGGCUGAAGGAAGCUAAGUAAUUUCCCAAGAGCACACAACUAGUAAGAAGCUAGGCUGGGACUGGGACUCAAGACAGCUUGUACUGGGUUGAAUAGUUCCCCCCCCCAAAAAAAAAUUCAUGUCCUCCUGAUACCUCAGAAUGUGAUCUUAUUUGGAAAUAGGGUCUGCAGAAUGUCUUAGGGUGGGUUCUCUAGAGAAGCAAAACCAGUAAAACAUAUAUAUAUAUAUAUAUACCCCCACUGCCAUUGAGUCGAUUCUGACUCAUAGCAACCCUAUAGGACAGAGUAGAACUGCCUGAUAGAGUUUCCAAGGAGCACCUGGUGGAUUUGAACUGCUGACCUCUUGGUUAGCAGCUGUAGCACUUAACCACUAUGCCACCAGGGUUUCCAUAUAUAUAGUGAGAAAGAGAGAGAGAGAUUUAUAUCAAGAAAAUAGAGGUUGUAGAGGCUGGAAAGUCCCAGGUCCGUGGGGCAGGCUGGAGGCUUCUCCUGACUCACAGAGCUGCAGGGGCUGACAAAUCCCAAGAUCAGCAGGUAAGCUGCUAGCUCAAGUCCCAAGUCUCAGGUGAACAGGAGCCAGAUGCAUGAUCCAUAGUGAGCAAAAGCCCACAAGCUUUGCCAGAAAGUCUGCGUAUAUUGGAUGCAGGCCACACCCCCAAAGAAACUCCCUUUCAACUGAUCGGCUGCUUAUAAGAGAUCUCAUCAUGGAGGUGAUCACAUUAUAUCAUAUCAUCAUGGAGGUGAUUACAUCGUUACAUAGCUGCCAAACUGCAUCAUAACUGCCAAACCACUGAGAAUCACGGCCCAGCCAAGUUGACACAACCUUAACCAUGACACAGAUGUAAUUAACUAAGUUAAGGUGGGCCCUAAUCCAAUAACUGGUGUCCUUAAAAGAAGAUAAAGCAGAGAUACACACAGAGGAUGACGGCCAUGUGAAGACAGGCAGAGAUGGGAGUGAUGCAUCUACAAGCCAAAGAAUGCCACGAAUUACUGGCAACCACCAGGAGCUAGGAUGAAGCAAGGAAAAAUUCUUCCUUAGAGCCUUUGGAGGGAGCAUGGCCCUGCCCACACCUGGAUUUCAGACUUGUAUCCUCCAGAACUGUGAGAGAAUAGAUUUCUGUGAAGUCAUUCAGUUUGUGGUACUUCAUUAUGGCAGCCCUAGGAAACUCAUACACAGCCUGAUUCCAAAUCUGGAGAUUUUAUCCACUCUUAUUAUAAGGUUAUAACAGUGGGAGUGAAGAAUCAAUGACGACUGAUUAAUGUAUAUAUUAUAUGUGAAGUUAUAGCUACUAGUCUCCACAAGAAAGUUUGUGUAUGUGUGUAUAUGUCUGUGUUGGUCUGUCUGCAAGGAUGUGUGUUGAUGUGGAGAAAAGCUGAUUAAGAAUAUCAGAGCUUCCCUCCUAGACUUCUUGCACCUAGCCUGGGGUCCCAGGAGCCACUGGUUGGCAAGGGGUGGAAAGAAUUUGUCACUCAAGCCACAGACAGGAGCCAUGAAAUAGCCAAAAAGGCAGUGUUUGGGGGUGAAACUGGAGUUGUGAGGCAAAGAGGAGAGACUGAGCCGAGAGAGGAAAACGAGGUGCAAGGCUGUCAUGUAAGGCAGGUUCCUCUGGAGUCACUUUCUGUUUAGUAGGGCUCAGGAUGAAAGCCAUAACAUUGUAUGGUGUGGGUGAAAAAGCAGGCUUUACUGGGAAACUUUCAAUUCGUUGUCAGCAGGUAAAGACAAAGUAUGAGUUCCCAGUCCUAUUAUUCCACAGAGGAGCAAACUGGGCACCCUACUGGACAAGCAGGGUGGCAGUAUGUGCUGGCAGUGGGAUCCUGCCACAGUACUGCUUUCCCUUAUGUGGCAAGCAUGAGGGCAGCCUUAUCGAUGGAGCAGCACAUGAAGUCUUAGGUGCCAAGCAUUCUGGGUUUGGGUGUUAGCUGUUUACAGGAUGCGGUGAGCAGAUUUCUAAGAUGGCCCCCAGUGACCCCUUCUUGUAUUCACACCCUGGAAUCCAGUGUGAGCUGGAUCUCAUGACUUGCUUCUAACCAAAAGAAUAUGGCAAAAGUGAAGUGAUAACACUUCUGUGAGUAGGUUAUAAAAGUUUGACUUUCAUCUUGCUUGAAGGCUCUCUACUGGCUUUGAUGAAGCAAGAGGCCAUGUUGGAAAGAGAAAAAACUGAUUGAUCUCCAUCUAACGGGGGAACUGAGGCCCUUAGUCCAACGAUCUUCAAGGAACUAAAUCCUGCCAGCCACUAUGUUAAUGAGUUUGGGAGCAGAUCCCUGCCUACUCAAGCCUUCAAAUGAGGCUCCAACCCUGGCCAAAUUUGAUUGCAGCCUUGUGAGGAACCCUGAAGCCAAGGACCCAACUAUACCAUACUUAGACUCCUGACCCACAGAAACUGUGAGAUAAUAAAUGUGUUUUGUUUUAAGUCUCUUGUUUUUUUUUUUUUUUUUA